UACGUAGGGAGCAAGCGUUGUCCGGAAUCAUUGGGCGUAAAGCGCGCGUAGGCGGCCCUGUAAGUCCGUUGUGAAAGUCAAAGGCUCAACCUUUGAAAGCCGAUGGAUACUGCAGGGCUAGAGUCCGGAAGAGGCGAGUGGAAUUCCGCGUGUAGCAGUGAAAUGCGUAGAUAUGCGGAGGAACACCGAUGGCGAAGGCAAUCUCCUGGGCCUGCACUGACGCUCAUGCACGAAAGCGUGGGGAGCAAACAGG
rnacentral:rRNA from 1 species